rnacentral:tRNA from 2 species
ACUCCCUUAGUAUAAAUAGUACUAUUGACUUCCAAUCAAUAAGUCUCGACAUACUCGAGAGAGAGUA